rnacentral:tRNA from 1 species
UUUACUUUGGCAGAAACAUGCGUUAGAUUUAGGAUUUAAUUAUAUAGGAGUUUAUUCUAUAAGUAAGG